GAUGAACGCUGACAGAAUGCUUAACACAUGCAAGUCUACUUGAAUUUGGGUUUUUAACUUAGGUUUGGGUGGCGGACGGGUGAGUAACGCGUAAAGAACUUGCCUCACAGCUAGGGACAACAUUUAGAAAUGAAUGCUAAUACCUAAUAUUAUGAUAAUAGGGCAUCCUAUAAUUAUGAAAGCUAUAUGCGCUGUGAGAGAGCUUUGCGCCCUAUUAGCUAGUUGGUAAGGUAAAGGCUUACCAAGGCGAUGAUAGGUAGCCGGCCUGAGAGGGUGGACGGCCACAAGGGGACUGAGAUACGGCCCUUACUCCUACGGGAGGCAGCAGUGGGGAAUAUUGGACAAUGGAGGAAACUCUGAUCCAGCAAUUCUGUGUGUGUGAAGAAGGUCUUCGGAUUGUAAAACACUUUUAGUUGGGAAGAAACAAAUGA
rnacentral:rRNA from 1 species